GUAGUAUUCCCUCCAUCCCAAAAUUCUUGUCUUACAUUUGUUUAGAUACGGAUGUAUCUGACACUAAAAUGUAACUAGAUACAUUCGUAUUUAGACAAAUUUAAGACAACAAUUUUGGGACGGAGGGAGUACAAA
rnacentral:pre_miRNA from 1 species